ensembl:snRNA U1 U1 spliceosomal RNA
CUACUUACCUGGCAGGGGAGACACCAUGAUCAGGAAGGUGGUUUUCCCAGGGCGAGGCUCACCCAUUGCACUGCAGGUGUGCUGACCCCCACCAUUUCCCCAAAUGCAGGAAACGUGACUGUAUAAUUUGUGGUAGCGGGGAACUGUGUCCAUGCUUUCCCCUG